rnacentral:lncRNA from 1 species
AGCCCCUUCCACCCCAGGCCUCGCUGUCUCUAGCACUGCUGCUGCAUGGCAGCAGGGAAGGCAUCAUUUGAACAGCCUCGAGAGUUGCUGGGCUUACAGGUGUGCACAUUGUGUAGGGUGUCUGCAUGGGGGCUGACGCAGGAGAGGGCUCUGGAUUUCCCAAGAGAGCAUCUACAGUCCUGGAAGCUGACCCGGCAGGUGAGGAGUGGAAGCUCUCCUUUGGUGAUUGAAGGCUGUGUGUCCUUCUCAGUCUGC